rnacentral:rRNA from 1 species
AUUGAACGCUGGCGGCAUGCCUUACACAUGCAAGUCGAACGGCAGCACGGGUGCUUGCACCUGGUGGCGAGUGGCGAACGGGUGAGUAAUAUAUCGGAACGUACCUUAUUGUGGGGGAUAACGCAGCGAAAGCUGUGCUAAUACCGCAUAAUCCCUAAGGGGGAAGGCGGGGGACCGUAAGGCCUCGCGCAAUUAGAUCGGCCGAUACCUGAUUAGCUAGUUGGUGGGGUAAAGGCUCACCAAGGCAACGAUAAGUAGCUGGUCUGAGAGGACGAUCAGCCAGACUGGGACGGAGACACGGCCGAGCCUCAUACGGGAGGCAGCAGUGGGGAAGGUUGGACAAUGGACGCGGGUCUGAUCCAGCCAUGCCGCGUGCGGGAAGAAGGCCUUCGGGUUGUAAACCGCUUUUGUCAGGGAAGAAACGCUCUGGGUUAAUACCUCGGGGUAAUGACGGUACCUGAAGAAUAAGCACCGGCUAACUACGUGCCAGCCGCCGCAGUAA